AUUCUACCCAUGUGGGGAAGGAUGAGAAGCUUCGACUAAGGUUCGAUUCGAGCGAAAGCGAGAAAGCGUUGCCGCAGGCAACGACCCGAAGGGCGAAGCGCGCAGCGCUGAGUAAUCCUUCCCCUACCACCA
rnacentral:sRNA from 10 species